GUAAAGACUGAGUCAACUCUAUAAUAAAGAAUGCUGUGUUUAUUUCCUGAAGUGUUGAUUUAGUUAGGCAAAAUAGUGAAAUUUCACUGUUGGCAAUAAUUAUCAUUGUGUUAUUAAAUGUAUUCUUGCUUUUUUGCUUCAGUAUUUUAAGAAGUCUUUUCUUACAGUUUAAUUUUUGAUAUGACAUAAUAUAUUUCAUAAAACAGUUGAUACUUGUAUAAGAUUCUGCACGGAAACAAAUCAUAACAAUAGAAUUAGAAAUUUACCUCAUUGGGCAAAUUUGUGUUUGCCUUAGUACUUAAUAUUGAUUACGUCAGUUAAGAAUAUUCAUGGUUCUUUAGUGAAAAAAAAUUCAUUUUAAUUUCUUCUCUACCUAGGCAGUUACUUCCUCAUUCAGUUGUAUCACCAGGACAGCCACUGGGCCUCUGUGUUACAUUUCAUGAUGCCAAUAUCUAUUUCUUGUUUUGGAUUAUGAGUUUCUUGAGGACAAGAACUAUGCUUUAUUUGCCUUCAUAUCCCGAGUAUCCCUUACAGGACCUUCACACAGACACUGGAGAUCUGAAAAAUUUGAUCCUGUGGUUGCAGAAUUAGAGGACGCUGUCGUGGAUGAAAAGCUCCACUUAUUACAGAGAAAUUUCAUAGAUAAGUACUACCUGGAGUUUUGAGGACACGGAAGAGAAUGAUGUAACCUACAUGCCUAUUUUAAUAAAUAUAUUUUUUGGCAGAAAAAAUAUGUUGAAGGAUAACCUCUGUAGCAGAUUCCUGAAUUCAACGUAGCAGUUUUCAUAACUAUGUUACAGCAUCAUAAGGAUGAAGUGACUGGUGACAUAUUCGACAUGCUGCUCACCUUUACCAAUGUUUUGGCUUUUAAAUAAAUGUUUUUGGACUACACAGCAGAAAAAGAAGGCUGGGGACUGGACUUAAGCAGUGGUCCAGUGGUGACUUUGUUGUGCACAUCAUCUAUACCAGCUUUUCAGAACAAUCUGCAACACUAGGUCCUACCUCCAGCCAAUAAAUGGGAUCAUUCUGGAUGUCACCGACCCAAUAAGCCAACAGAGUCUGCUCAUGAUGAUGACAGAAGAAUAUGUCUUGGAAAGACUGACUCUGUUCUGCAAUUCUUCAUUAGUACUAAGUAUCAAUAGGUCAAAACCAAAAUGACCUAAACCUCCUGGACCUAUGUCUCCUGAAACACCUUAUUGUAUUCAUUGACCUUAAUAAUCCUCCCAAUGGGUAACCCUGGUACUCCUCCCCUCCUCAAGUAGACACCUCUCUCGGGUAUUUCUGAGUUCGACGACUCUGGAGCAGGCCAUGUCAAUCAUUCCACCUGGGAUGAGUGUUACACAUGUUGGUGUGUAACAGUGUGGAAUAAUCCACCAUCAACACCCUCUGUCCCAGCAGGCUUUACAUGAAUCUUUGUGCACCCACACCUCUUAUUUACAUGAGUCAGAGUUUCAGUCCUUCAGCUUCAGUGUGGUUUCUGAUAUUUAUCAACGUGUUAUUCAAGCCAUCUUGAGAUUUCGGAAUCUCCUAUGACCACAGCUUGUCUUGGCCAUAGGAAUCAAUGGAAAGAGAUGUCUUUUACAUAAAAGCUACAUGCAAAAAAACUCCUGAUUUUAACAUUUGUAGUCCUUGUGUCACUGUCUUCUGCUAAUCCCAUUGUUUCUAGAAGUCUCUUUUAAGUUUUAAUUUUUUUUUUUAAUUUUUAUAGAUGAAUAGUCAGGCUAACCUAGUAGGUAUGAUCUUGGAACUUCCAUGAUUACCCACUUAUAGAUCAAAGUAUUAUAUGCUGUGUGCUUUUUAGUUAGUGCUGUGAAGGCAAAAAAACUUUCUAUGUUGGCAUUCAUUCCUAUUUUACUGGGUACCUAUGAAUGUAUGCUGUUUGCUAGAAAUAGACUAAAAGAUAUCUUGUUCUUAUAACAACGUGUUGGUGUGUUUGCAUGUUUGCUGAAAAUCCUUUCUGUAUAAACCAGUUCGUUCGGUUCUCUGGGUUAGGUAGGGACUCUGCAGUUUCCUCCUGCUCUAAGUCUCUCCUACUGAGAUGGUGUUCCAUUGGUCCAGCUGAGCAUGAGUAGGAGGUAAUAAACAGCUUUACUAAUUAUUUGUUUGCUUUGGUUUGCUGCAAUAUAUGGUGAACUACUUAGAAAACAUUUAUAUAAUCUCUAGAAAGGAGAAAAAACAUGGUAGUUCAAUUCCCAAUGGGUACCUUUGAAAUUUUUAAUUGUAAAAAUAAGAAUCCGUACUGAAAAUAAAUAAAUCAUCUGUACUGGAGGGAGGAGGUGAUAUGAACAAGAUGGAAGUAAAAUACCACAAAAAAGAACCCCAUUUAAGUGGGGAGGUAUAUGAUUAAAUUUCCAAUAUUUCCUAGUUUUUGUAUUGUUCAGAAAGUGUAUAUAAAUGUGAUUAACUUUUGACUUUUACCAAGCAAAUAAGUAAAAUUUUAAGUUACUUCUAGAUGAAUAAUUUUUUUUUUCUUUUUUAAGACAGGGUCUUGCUUUGUUACCCAGGUUGGAGUGCAGUGGUGUGAACACAGCUCACUGCAGCCUUGACCUCCCAGGCUCAGUCCCCCAAGUAGCUUGGACUACAGGGGUGUACACCACCAUUCUUGGCUAAUUUUUUGUAUUUUUUUUGUAGAGACAGAGUUUUGCUAUGUUGCCCAGGCUGGUCUUGAACUCCUAGGCUCAAGUAAUCUGCCCACCUUGGCCUCCCAAAGUGCUGGGAUUAUAGGCAGUGAGCCACUGUGCCUGGCCCAGAAUGUUUGUAUUUUUAACCAGUGGAGAAAAUGAAAGAAUAAUGGGAAUUGAUCAGCAAAAUAGAAGUUAGAAAGGGAGAAACAAGAAAAAAAUAGAAAAAUAAUUAAAAAAACAGAAUACUGUAAAUAGAAAGUAUGAAAUAACAUGACAGACAUGUCAAAAUGUACAAAUAAUUACAAUGAAUGUAUGAACUGAAUUUAUUAACUGGAACAGAUAUUAUUACAAAAUGUAGAUGUAAGUUGUUUACAAGGGAACCACUUAAACUUCAGGAUUCAAAGAGGUUGAAAGUAAAAGAAUGGGAAAAGCUAUAACUGGAAAUUACUAACAGAAAUAAGGCUGGGGUAGCUAUAUUAAUAUUAAAAAAUAAACUUUAGGUUAGGAAACAUUAUUAGAAAUAAUAAUGAAAAGAGGAAAAUUCUCUAGCAAGAUGUAGCAGUUAUAAACUUGUUUGCAAUUAGUAACAACCUGAAAAUAUGUGAAGCCAAAAUCAACAGAAUUUCGGGGGAAAAGUAAUAAAUAACAAACAUAGCAUAAGAUUUUAAUGAAUGUCUCUCAGUAAUUGAUUUAUUAAGAGAAAGAAAAAAUCUAAAGAAGAUUAGCAAAUUUUAAAAAUUUAAUAUAAUGGAAAUAAAGUAAUUAUAUUCAACAAUUAGGGGAUCUGUAUUCUUUUAAAUAAUUCAUGUAGCAUUUACAAAAGCGUACUAAGCCAGACACCAUAACUUAUCAGCUUUUUGUUUGUAGAGAUUGGAAUUUUAUGUAAGUAGAAUCAUGCAGUGUAUACUCUUCUAUUUUGGCCUAGCUUCUCUCAGUAUAAUUAUUCUGAGGUUCAUCUAUGUCGAUGUAUGUAUCAAUAGUUCAUUCACUUUUAUUGCUGAGUAGAAUGCUUUAUUCAUUCAACAGUUAAUAGACAGUUGGGUUUUUCUAGUUUUUGCCUAUUAUAAAUCAAACUACUAUGAACAUUCAUGUACAAAUGUUUACAUGGACUUAUGCUUUCAUUUUCAUUGGAGUGAUAAGGCUGUUAUAUAGUGGAGGUGUGUUUCAGAUUUUUUAAAAUUGCCAAACAUUUUAAUAAGCAUUUUACAUUCCCACUAACAGUGUAUGAUAUUCCUUGGUGCUCUAUAUUCUCACCAAAAGUUGGUAUGCUUUUUAAUUGUAGCACUUCUAGUCGUGCUAUCUUACUAUGGUUUGACAUUGCACUUCCCUGGUGACUAAUGAUGUUGAGCAUCUUGUCAAAUGCUUAUUUAUCAUUUCAAGGUCUUUUUUUGUACAGUGUUCAAAUCUUUACUCUUUUUUUUGCGUUGUCUUAUCCUUUUUGAAUGGCAAGAGUUCAUUAUAUAGUCUGGAUACAAGUUCAUUAUUUAAUGUCUUAGUCCAUUUGCACUGUUAAAACAAAAUGUGAGACUGGGUAAUUUAUCAAAAACAGAAAUGGAUUUCUUCACAGCACUGGAGGCUGGGAAGUACAAGGUCAAGGCAUUGGCAGGUUUGGUGUC
ensembl:lncRNA